rnacentral:rRNA from 1 species
GAGUUUGAUCCUGGCUCAGAGCGAACGCUGGCGGCAGGCCUAAUACAUGCAAGUCGAACGGUCCUUCGGGACAGUGGCGGACGGGUGAGUAACACGUGGGAACGUGCCCUUUGGUUCGGAAUAGCUCCGGGAAACUGGAAUUAAUACCGGAUGUGCCCUUCGGGGGAAAGAUUUAUCGCCAUUGGAGCGGCCCGCGUCUGAUUAGCUUGUUGGUGAGGUAAAGGCUCACCAAGGCGACGAUCAGUAGCUGGUCUGAGAGGAUGAUCAGCCACACUGGGACUGAGACACGGCCCAGACUCCUACGGGAGGCAGCAGUAGGGAAUCUUGCGCAAUGGGCGAAAGCCUGACGCAGCCAUGCCGCGUGGAUGAUGAAGGUCUUAGGAUUGUAAAAUCCUUUCAGCGGGGACGAUAAUGACGGUACCCGCAGAAGAAGCCCCGGCUAACUUCGUGCCAGCCGCCGCCGUAAU